CACAGCGUUGUCCAGGAAGAGUUAAAGGAUGAGGAGACCCAGAGUGAUGCCCAAAGGUUGGACUUCUGUAUCAACAUCCAGCCUCCGAGUGAGUUUCUGGAAUUACCAUCUUCCCCAAUUAUAACGAUCCCUAUCUCCAUUCUUCAUUCCCGAGUCCCCAGGGGCAGCAGAGUACAUCGAGGUUUAAGCCCUGCUCCCCAGGAAGCUGAGCCCGGGAUGCCCACUCUGCAGCCCUCACACCCACCACAUCCCUGCUCUGACAUUCACCCAGGGACUCAUAGGCCUCACUGUUCCAAACUCCACAACCUGCAGGCCCUGGGGCACCUUGUUGCUCCUGACUCCCACCAGAACUUGGCUUUCAGGAAAGCUGGGCAAUGUCUGGAAAGUCAAUUAGGAAGAACUGGGGACAGGCCAAGGACUCAGACUCAGUGACAACCACAGUGAAAAUGAACAGGGAGGCUGGGCCCAGCUCUGCCUACAGAAGAAGGGAUGCCCUGCACGUCGAGACAACCCUGCGCUUAUCCUGAUGUGCUCCCAUCCCCUCCCUGGCAUCCAGCUCCUGCAUCCUCCCUAAACCAUGCUGUAAGGCUGACAACCCCAGAUCAACAAAAGGCACACAAGCAGGGACAGGCAGACAUUUGGCCCCUACACCUGCGCACAGGGCGUCCCCAGCGCCUGCGGCACGGGUAACAGCACUAAUUACAGAAUCAACGAGACUUCCUUAUCAUCAUCCAACACCUGUGUUCAGUUUUCUCUGUCUCUAAAAUGUCCUCCAACAGUUGGUCUGUUUGAAGGGAGAUUCAACACAAGGCCCACACACUGCUUUUGGCUGACUAUGGCACCUAAGCUAUUAGCCGCCCCAGCCCCCAUUUAGUUUUUGAAUAAACUGCCCAACCUCUCUGAACCCCUCUGGAGGGAAUGUGACCUGCGUAAGUCCAGGUGUCUACAGUUAGCCGCUCCUUCUGGCCCAGUGCAUGCACUUGAUUCGGGUAGCCUGGGCCCAGCCCCAGCAAGGACUGCCCAGCUGCCCUGAAGCUAACUCUUGGCUGGGGCAGAGGCAGGCAGGCUCCCAGCCCUUGGCCUCUGUGAGGCCACAGCAGCCCUGGGGGCAGGGCGGGGAGUAAGUGGGAGCAGAUCCAGGGUAGUUCACAAAAGCACCAUCUCUUUAGAUGGCACAGAAGCAGGGUGGCCAUGGGCUAGGGGCUUGAGCCCUGCAGCCCAGCCCCCCUCUUGAGCUUAGCCUGGCUGGCACACCUGGCUUCCUCCGGUGACUCACCUACCACCUGCUCAGCACAUCAGCCGGUUAUGGGCUGAGACAGCCCACAAGAGCAGCUGGGCUGGG
rnacentral:lncRNA from 1 species